rnacentral:rRNA from 1 species
GCGCAGCAGGCGAGAAACCUCCGCAAUGCGGGAAACCGUGACGGGGUCACCCCGAGUGCCUCCCGAUAAGGGAGGCUUUUCCCCGCUGUAAACAGGCGGGAGAAUAAGCGGGGGGCAAGUCUGGUGUCAGCCGCCGCGGUAAUACCAGCCCCGCGAGUGGUCGGGACGGUUAUUGGGCCUAAAGCGCCCGUAGCCGGCCCGGCAAGUCCCCGCGGUAAAGCCCCGGGCUUAACCCGGGGAUUGCGGGGAUACUACCGGGCUAGGGGGCGGGAGAGGCCGAGGGUACUCCCGGGGUA